UGCGGGGUGGAGCAGAGGCAGCUCGCCAGGCUCAUAACCUGGAGGUCGUGGGUUCGAGUCCCGCCCCCGCUA
rnacentral:tRNA from 1 species